CGGGGCGGGUGCGGUCGGUUGUGUGUGAGGGCUGAGGGCGCGGCCCCGCUGCUGCCCGGGCUGCGGAGGGGAGAGCGCCUUGGCCGCUGGCCUGGCUCGUGGUUUCCCCUGGUGCUGGGGAGUGGAGGCGAGUUGUGCUUCCUGCUGGGAGAGAGAAGGGCCUUGGGAAGCUGCUCCAUGAGCCACAGCUGUGCCGAGCCCGGGAGUCUGUCCAGGGAGGCAGUUUGCAAGGACAGGGGGGUUGCUGUGCUCUCUAGCAAAACUACUCCCCUUGGGAUGUGCAGGGUGAGGAAAUGUUGGCCCCGUGUGGGCUGGAGCAAAGGUGUGUGGGUGCCUGUGUGUGACAGCCGUGGGUGUGCAGGAAGGGGGUUCUGGGGCCAUUGGAGCUGCCAGGGAGCCAAAAGGGGCACAGUUGUCUGAAAAAGGUGAAAGCUCUGUUGGCCUCUGUUGACACCUGCACCAAAGGAGAUGCAAAUUUUCCCCCUCUUGGUUGCAGGCUUCACAAAGCUCCCAGGAAAGGAAGUUUUAGAU